GGCGACGAUCAGGGCGCGCGGGUGUCCGGGGGCCAGGUCCAGGGCCGGACGCGGCCAGCCAUUCAGGAAGGCAGCGCUGGGGAGCUGGAGGCGGCCGGCGAGGAGGAUCACACACUUUGCUCUUUUUGUUGUGCCGGUGGCGCCCGGCUCUCGCUGCUGCCUUCUUCUUCUUUCCGGAGGUGACGGAAGGGAGAGAAAAAUACGGGAUAAUUCACGCCGGCGACGAUUUCACAGCAAAAUAGGAAAAAAAUUUUUAAAAAAAAAAAUCUGAAGAAAACACUUGAAAAAAAAGGAAGGCAAAAGAGAAAGCGAGAGAGACAUCCAAAGUUUGAUUACGACAGAACACUCGUGGGAUUGAAGCUAUUGCCACAAAUUCGAUCUGAAUCGACGUUCCCUAUUCAUCCCAAAGAUGAUUUUAAAGUCAACUUUCCCAUCAAUUCUGGUUUUUUUUUUUUUUCCCCCCUUGCUGCUGCUGCUGCUUCUUCUUUUAAUCCCCAGGCCUAUUCCAAACUCCAAACAAAGCUUCAACAAUAUUAAUAAAACAGCAGUAUGCGCUCAUA